rnacentral:rRNA from 1 species
CCCUACGGGGUGCAGGCUUUGGAGAAGUAUGAAGGGAUUCGGACCGAGUCAAAGCUGAAGUUGGAUCAACAGCUUGCCGAUAUCAAGAAGCUCCACGAUGACGAACUGGCCGACCUGGAUCGGUACCGCAACGAGACCAAGGCCAAGUUGGACCAAAUCCAGAAGGAUUAUGUAACCGUCUGGGACAAGAUCAAAGGGGCCGCCUUGGAUGCCUUCGAGGCUAUGGGCACGGCUAUUACCCGUUUGGUUACCGAAUACCUGAUGGGUAAGUUGAACAAGGCCCUGAUUGACCUCAUUGAUGACCUCUUGCCUUCUUUGUCAAAGGUCCUGGGUUCUGUGCUGGAUGGAUUGGGCUCGGUGUUUGGUAAGUUGGGGAAGGUUCUGGGUGGGAUUUUUGGUUUAGGUGAAGGAGGAGGAAUUGGCGGGAGAGC